CGGAACACGUACACAACCUUCCUUUAAGCGGGGGAUAGCCCAGAGAAAUUUGGAUUAAUACCCCAUAGAAUGUUGGCGAGGCAUCUCGUUGAUAUUAAAGAUUUAUCACUUGAAGAUGGGUGUGCGUCUGAUUAGGUAGUUGGCGGGGUAACGGCCCACCAAGCCAUCGAUCAGUAACUGGUGUGAGAGCACGACCAGUCACACGGGCACUGAGACACGGGCCCG
rnacentral:rRNA from 1 species